ensembl:lncRNA
UGCUGUAAUACCAGUUUGUGGUUAGCCUGUUACUCAUUUGGCAGAUAUUUUUAUCUAAUGAAACGUAUAAUUGCGCUAAACAGAUAAGGGUUACAAUUGUGCUCAUAAAUCCUCUGCUGACAAGUCCUCAGAAGGGAUAUUUUGAAAGAGGACAGCAUGAGUCAUUUAGCAUGAGUCAGGAGAAGACUUACUACAGACUGGGGUGGGGGCAUGUUUCACAGCAAACACACUCAAAAAUGAAAAGAACUGAAAAGCUUAAUUAAUGUCUGUAAUCUUAUCUUGACCUGCCCAAUUCAUCAUUAGGCAAUUAUGCACAGGACGCAUCACAUAAGCACGGCAUCAAGGGUUGUAUCAAGUGUCGCGUCAAGACUUCAAUCGAUUCAUGCUUGGAUGUGUUACAGGUGCAAUUCCAGAUGAGCUACUGGCAGGUGAAAAAGAAAAAGUGCACCUUGAUUUUAAUUUGUUUGAAUGACUCCAGCCUUCAGUUAUCAUUUAAAAUGGACAUUUUCCACUCCAAACUCCAGCAAAGUCCAGCUAAUGAAAUGUGUCCGGCAAACUAUCAUGUAAAGCGCCCAAAAAAACAAAAGAAGGAGAAGCAGCCUGUGACACAGAUGUAUGGCUACCCUGAAAUCUAACAAAAUCAUUAACAAAAAAGGAAAUUCAUUUCAAUUAAUUCAUUUUGUUUUGUUAAUGUUUUUUAAAAAAAAUAAAUUCUGCAGAUAUUAGUUUACUGUAAUACAUGUUUAUGGUUAGUUUUUUUUAUUUAUUGUAAUAUUGGCCUCAACAGCAGCUCGUGACCAUAGAUUUUGCAAUGAAGUAAUUCCAUAAUAAGCAUUUGAGAGUCAACAACAUUCAUUCAUCCAGCAUACAGUCUCGAUCAUUUGGAGUGGUUUUAGACGUGCCUUUGCUCAACUGGGUUUGAGCUAACAUCAUUAAUCAGGGUUGCCAAGAUUCAGCAAAUUUUCCAGCCCAACUACAUUUCACACCCCACACAAAAGAUCUGAAACUAGCCCCGAAAAGAAAAAAAAAUCAGGCACUGGAUAAGGGAGAAAUAUUUAUCUUUUUUUCCCAGCCUUUGCAAGGGAAACUGUGGUGUGCGUGCAUUUCUGAUGUAC